AUUGAACGCUGGCGGCAGGCCUAACACAUGCAAGUCGAGCGGAUGAAGGGAGCUUGCUCCUGGAUUCAGCGGCGGACGGGUGAGUAAUGCCUAGGAAUCUGCCUGGUAGUGGGGGAUAACGUCCGGAAACGGGCGCUAAUACCGCAUACGUCCUGAGGGAGAAAGUGGGGGAUCUUCGGACCUCACGCUAUCAGAUGAGCCUAGGUCGGAUUAGCUAGUUGGUGGGGUAACGGCCUACCAAGGCGACGAUCCGUACUGGUCUGAGAGGAUGAUCAGUCACACUGGAACUGAGACACGGUCCAGACUCCUACGGGAGGCAGCAGUGGGGAAUAUUGGACAAUGGGCGAAAGCCUGAUCCAGCCAUGCCGCGUGUGUGAAGAAGGUCUUCGGAUUGUAAAGCACUUUAAGUUGGGAGGAAGGGCAGUAAGUUAAUACCUUGCUGUUUUGACGUUACCAACAGAAUAAGCACCGGCUAACUUCGUG
rnacentral:rRNA from 1 species